rnacentral:lncRNA from 1 species
AUUUUUUCCGAGCGGCGGAGCAUCUGAUUAUUGCGCUUUGGUGCAACAAUGGGCGGGUCAGUAGAGAGCACAUGGGUCGGAUAAGAAGCCGGGUCGAAGGAAUCCAGUUGAUAGAAAACCGUUCCGAGAAUAACGGGUAUUAUUACUGAAAUAAAAAUUGGCUUUAGAAAGAUGAGCGGAGAACUCAUAUUUGCAGUUGUUGUUGAAGAAGAAGUUGGGCUUGACUGGUUAGUGUGAAUAGCAGAGCAGAUGAAGGAUUAACAUUGAGUCAUUAUCAAAUCGUCAGCAAAGAAGAAGGUAUGUGAGAGAAUUAGUUGACUCGUAUUCCUCUUUGUUUGCAUUCUUAUUAUACCAAAAUGUGGCUCCUAUCUACUACUCCAUUUGUUUCUAUCAUUGUGGCGUAACUACUAUGACAAAGUCACAAUUUCAAAGAAAGGAACAGAUAAAAGCACUAAAUUUGUAGUGAAUUAUUAAUUUAUUUUUGAACUAUUGAUAGUUCUAAAAGUAUUGUUACUGAAUUUAAACACACCUCUAAUCUUAAGUGAAUUACACUCCUAAAUUUUUAUCAAAUUUAGAAGUGUUUUCAACACUUCUCUCUAUUUUUAUUAAGAAUCCCAUGCUUUUACAAAAAGUUGAGAUCACUUGCUAUGUUACGUGGCAAAUUGAAGUGUAUUUUAGUUUAGUUAAUCAAAUAAAAAAAAAGGUGUUGUUUUAAGUUUAGGAAUAUUUUUAAUACUUUUCUAAAAAGAAAGAAAGUCGUAUCUAAAAUUUGGAGUAAAUUUAUCUUAAAAUAUUUGAAGUUUAUAAGUUUUUAAAUUUUAGUCAUUUGGAGUCAUUCUGAACCCAUACCUUCUACUUUACUUUGCCUCUCAUUUAUAGUCUCACACUUGUCAUUUAAAAAAAUAGAAGUAUGUUUUAAAGGUAAAAAUAAAAAAAAAGUUAAAUUUAAUAAUCUCUAAAUAUAAAAAUAUACUCCCUCCGUUUCACAAAGAAUGACCUCAUUUCCUUUUUAGUCAGUUUAAAAAAGAAUGACCUCUUUCCUUUUUUAGUAACAUUUUACUUUUUGUUUUUCACGUGGCAUGUUUAAGACCACAAGAUUAAGGGCAGUUUUGUACAUUUGACAUAACUUUAAUUUAGGACCACAAGAUUCAAAAGUCUUCUUUAUUUACUUAAACUCCGUGCCAAGUCAAACCAGGUCAUUCUUUGUGAAACAGAGGGAGUAUCAUUUUUCAUGAAAUAGUUAAAUAAAAAAGUUUAUGUUAAAUUACUUUUAAAUAUAAAAAGUUAAAUGGCUAAUAAAAAUAAUGAUGAUGUAUAAAAUAUAAUUGACUUUCAAACUUACCGGUUUAAAAAAAUACUCCCUCUGUUUCAAUUUAUGUGAGACGUUUCGAAUUUCGAGAUUCAAACAAGUCUAUCUUUGACCGUAAAUUUUUCAUAUAUCUUUUAAAUAUUUUGAAUUAUUAAUUAUUGUGACUUAUAAUACUUUUUAUGCAGUUUACAAAUAUAUAAAUUUCAUUUUAAAAAAUUUGAAGAUUUCAUAAGCAAAUUUUCAGCAAACUUAAACUGUUUGAUUCUCGAAAAGCAAAAUGUGUCACAUAAAUUGAGAUUGAGGGAAUUUAAAAUACAAUUGAUUGAAUUAAUAAAAUAACUAACCUAGUCUGUUGAAAAAUUCUUAGCCGUAUAGGCCAGCUUCGCAAUUCGCACGCCCCGAAUUAUUUAUUCUUUACAAAGCUAUUUGCAUAUAAUGAUAGAGUGGGUAAGUAAAUUAUUUACUAAAGUUAUUUAUAUUAAUAAAGUUAUUUAGGUUAAAUCAUUUCAUUUUAAUUUACACAAUACUACUAUGAAACAAUAAAUAGUAAAGUAAAUUAUUAAUGACAUAUUGAUUGAUAGAAUAAGUUAGGUCUGAAGUUGGUUUGUCUUAACAUAGUAUUAGAUGUCGAUUAUAUUGUAGAUUUAUUAUUGGUUUACCCUUGCAAUAAGGUUGAAUUCAGAUUACAUAUGUUUGCACAGGUAUAAUAAUGUUUCUAAAUCAAUCAUUACCUCAAAUACAUAAAUAAUAACGAGCGAUGAAUGUUAAAUAAUUCAACAAGUCAUACAUCAAUUAAACAUGACAUUUUGUAAUGUAUGGAGAUAAUUUUAUAAACCUGCCUCAAUUUAAACGAAGCCAGACUUAAGAGUAGGUAUGUGAAAUUAUUUCUUUAAUUUUUUAUUUGUUUUUUGUGUAGAAUAGCUUUGUGGGUAAACAUAUUUAAUCUGAAUGAUAUUAUUGAUAUAAAAUAAUUAUCAAUAAUUGGACGAUCAUAAUUGUUCAUUCUAAUAAUGCUAAUUACUUGACGAUAUUUUUCUUUUCUUUUUCUGUCAAAAAUGAAAUACUCCAUACCUAAUAAUUGCCUUCAUGUCUCUCUUGAUGAGAAUUUGACGAUAUUUUUCUUUCCUUUUUCUGUCAAAAAUGAAAUACUCCAUACCUAAUAAUUGCCUUCAUGUCUCUCUUGAUGAGAAUUUAAUCGCUUGGAAAAUGAAUUGUAAAGUAGUCAAUUUAGGACAAUUUCCUGCCCUUAUAUAGGAAAAUUUAAAAAAUGAUAAAUAAAGUUUUGCAAACAAUAAUUGUUCCAAAGUACUAAAUAUAUAGUCUAACGUGUUUAAGACGAAAGGUAAACACUUGAAGCUUAUCAUUAUUAAAUGUGGCCUAAUUAAUUAGAAAUUUGUGCAAUCCAUAUCAAUGGAUUUUUCUUUCUACUAAAAACUGUUUUAUUUUUAGAAAGUGAGGUGUUUGACCAAAUUUUAGAGGAGAAAUUAAAUAUUUCUGAAGAGUCACAAAAGUUGCUUUUUUAAAGGGACAAAUUACUUAACUACACUCCUUUACUUACCUUAAUAUCCAUUUAUUCCUACUUAUUUCAAAAUUUUCAAAAAUCUCUUAUUUUACCUAUGUAUCCCGCUAUGUGGAAUGUAUCAAACGCUAUGUAUCCCGUGCACAACGCUAUGUAUCCCGCAUGUAUCCCGUGCACAACGCUAUGUAUCCCGCUAUGUGGAAUGUAUCAAACGCUAUGUAUCCCGUGCACAACGCUAUGUAUCCCGCUAUGUGGAAUGUAUCAAACGCUAUGUAUCCCGUGCACAACGCUAUGUAUCCCGCUAUGUGGAAUGUAUCAAACGCUAUGUAUCCCGUGCACAACGCUAUGUAUCCCGCUAUGUGGAAUGUAUCAAACGCUAUGUAUCCCGUGCACAACGCUAUGUAUCCCGCUAUGUGGAAUGUAUCAAACGCUAUGUAUCCCGUGCACAACGCUAUGUAUCCCGCAUGUAUCCCGUGCACAACGCUAUGUAUCCCGCAUGUAUCCCGUGCACAACGCUAUGUAUCCCGCAAACAUCAUUUUUAAGGGAUUUUUGGUAAAUAAAAAACUAGAAGGGAUAAGAUGUUAUUUAGUACUUAUAAUAUGUGGUUCCUAUAAUUUAUACUUUUUAAAGACUAGAAUAUUAAACUUGAAAAUUAAUAGAAACGGUCUGCAUGCAUUGGGCUUAUGAUUUUAUAAAGAGACUCUUUUAUAAAUACUAGUAAAGAUGUACUUGAUUGUGAUGAUAAAGAAAUGGUUGUUCGGUGGUCUUGAUGCUUUGUUGAAUAACAAGCAAGGAGAGUCCCUAAAAACAUUUUUCUGAAAAGUACUUAUAAGAAGAAAAAGAUACUUUAAAAUAAGUUGAUUUAAGAAGUUUGACCAAAUAAAUUAUAAAACGAUAAGAAAUACUAGUGAGGAAGAACUAUAUAUAUAAGGGCACUAAAGAAUUUCUAUUUGGCUUAACUCUUCCUCCCAAUAUCUAUGGGCUUUAAAUUUUGGGAAAAUUAUGUGAAAUGACAAACAUCUAGAGUAUAUUAUGUAAUAUAGUUAUAGUUUCGAUUAUUUUUAAUCUGUGGGUACAAUUUGGUGAAAUUUUGCUAUUCGGUUUCAUAAUUGUAUAAAUUCUGAAUUUGUAUAAUUCGAUUUCUAAUUGUAUAAAUUCAAAAUUUGUAUAUUUCGGUUCCUGAUUGUAUAAAUUCAGAAUUUGUAUAUACUUACCCUAACUAUUUGUAUAUGCUUUAUGAAAAAUUCAUAAUAAAUUACCAUGUUUGUGUAUUGGCAAACGAAAUAUACAAACGGAGUUCUCAAAAAUUUCUAAAUGUAGAAAUACAGAAUUUGUAUAUACUUAAUUUGUUUGUAUAUUCGCAAGUGAAAUAUACAAACUGCAAUCUCCAUAGCAAACAAAACUAUAGCUCUAGAGUGCAAUUACUGAAACUAUAGCUAUAGAGCCUUCCUAUUAUCUUUGUUAUUUCUGAAAUUUUCUCCCAAUUUCUUAUUUUUCUUGCUUAGAGCCUAAGAAGUUCAAACAUAACAAUUAUUUUGAGGCAAAUGGUCUUUGUAUGUAUAUCAUUGUCAACACCAUUACUUUUCUCAUUCAAAUAUUUUAUUGAAUUUUUGCUUUGUAUAAUUAAGAUGUCUACAGGUUUAUUUGAAUUUUUGCUUUGUAUAAUUAAGGGGUUAAGAUCUUUAGUUUUAUGAAUGUUAUGAUGAUGUAUAUUUCGAAAAAAUGAAUUGGUAUUUUUUUUAUAUUUGUAGAAAUUGCAUAAUGAAUAGGUAAGAAAUUUCUUUAAAGCAGAGCAAACUGGACUGAAACAACACGAGUUUGGUCACUUUUGUGGGUAGAUCCACCCAAAGACCAAGCCCAAUUGGACCAACAUGUAUAUUUUUAUAAUAAAAGGCAAAUAUUAAAGUUUUCAAUAUUAUUAAUGUCAAAUUAACUAUUUCAAGAAAGUUCCAAUGAAGUAAAUUCAUGCCAAAUACAUAAAUUUAUUUGGGAUUGUGAGCAAUGUUUUUGCUAGACAUAACAAAGACUGAAAAAGGACAAUUUUUAUUAAGACAUGCAUAAUUUCAAUGCUUUUUUUUUUUUUUUUUGGGGCGGUGGGGAUUCNNNNNNNNNNNNNNNNNNNNNNNNNNNNNNNNNNNNNNNNNNNNNNNNNNNNNNNNNNNNNNNNNNNNNNNNNNNNNNNNNNNNNNNNNNNNNNNNNNNNNNNNNNNNNNNNNNNNNNNNNNNNNNNNNNNNNNNNNNNNNNNNNNNNNNNNNNNNNNNNNAAAUUCAAUUCUUUUUUUUUUUUUUUUUAGGGCGGUGGGGAUUCGAAUCCCCAUUACUAGGAUGAAGGUGUGGGCAGCUCGCCAACUGAGUGUAGACACAAUUUCAAUUCAUUGUUGACCUUGUCCCUAAGUAUAAAUUUCUGUAUUUUCCCUGAAGAAUUGAAUGGUAAAUCACCAAAGAUUACUGCCUUAGGAACCAUGUAAUCCUGCAACCAAUCUUCACAAAACUUGAUAAUUUCUUCAUCAGUCACAAAACACCCUUUUUUCAGCUUCACAAAAGCACAAGGGGUCUCUCCAAGAACAUCAUCACAUCUUGCUACAACUGCAACUUCCAAAACCAUAGGAUGCCUAAUCAAAACACCUUCAAUUUCAAGUGUGCUUAUAGUUUUCCCCUCAGUUUUGACUAUGUCAACAGCGCGAUCCUUUAAUUUUAUAUUCCCAUUUGCAUAUUUAAUACCAAGAUCUUUAGUCCUAUACCACCCUCCCUCAAAAGCUUCUUCAGUUCUUGAUGAAUCUUUCAAGUACCCCAUCAUCAUAGCAUUGCCUCUAAACAUGAUUUCCCCUAUAGUUUUUCCAUCUGCUGGCACACUUUCCAUACUCUUUGGAUCUUUUACAUCAACUUCUUCCAUCAUAAUGUUGUGAACCCCUUCACGAAUUUUCACAUCCACGUCUUCAUUUAACUUGGAUAAAUAUUCAUCUUGACACUUCCAAGGCAUCGAUAUCAUUGGACCAAGUGCUUCACUCAUACCAUAUGCAUGAUUGAUAGUAAAUCCUAAUUUUUCGAGUUUGAUCAGAAUCUCUUGUGGUGGCAAUAUCCCUGCUACUGUUACAUUCACUUUGUGAGGUAACAGGGGCUGAUUUUUGCCAAUAGCAUUAGCAAUUUUUGUAAGAAUCAUUGGUGCACCACAAAAAUGUGUCACAUUGUGAAGGUAAAUUGCAUCCAAAAUCUCUUUUCCAUUGAUUUCACUUAGACAAAUAUUAGUGCCACCCAAAGCAGCAACUGUCCAGGGGAGACACCAUCCAUUACAUCGAAACAUAUCCACUGUCCAGAGAAAAACAGGGCUUUUUCCCAUUUCGAAUCGAAAAAUGUCAGCAAUUGUAUUCAAAUAAGCAGCUCUAUGGCUAUACACAGCUCCUUUAGGCUUCCCUGUUGAUCCAGAAGUAAAAUUGAUCGAAAUCGGAUCAAAUUCAUUUUUCGGAUACAUAAUCUUGAAAUUAGGCUGCCCCAUUUCAAGAAAUGUUUGGUAAUCCAGAAUCUUUGAUGGCCCUGAUGAUGAAACUGGUGGUUUUUUUACACUGUUACUGUCAUGGAUUAAGACAAUUAGACAAGACUUGUCUUUUUCUUGAAGAAUGGUAAGUGCUUGAAGCACUAGUCCAAUGAAAUCAGAGUAUACAAAAAUGAUUUUGGCCUCUAAUUGUUGGAGUUUUUGUGCUAAUGUGGUGGCAUCUAGCAUUGUGUUAAGUGCAGAAAGGACUGCACCAGCCAUUGGUACACCAAAAUGUAGCUCAUAUUGUGCUGGUACAUUAGGUGCCACUGUUGCCACCUGUUUGUAUUAGGAUUAAUAAGUUUAUAAAUUAAGCUUGUUAUAAUUGGUUAACUAUGACAAAAUAAGCUACAAAUAAAAGCGAAGAGAAAAAAGAAAAAAGGUUUGAACUCAGACUUAUAGUUAGAAUUUAAAGUUUAUAGGUUCAAGAUGUCGUUGAAAAUCCACUGAUCAUUUGAGUUAGUAGGUUGAAAUGCUUCAUUGAUUCUUUCUUACCAGUUCAAUAUUUCCCUAUUUCAAAAUAAGAGAAUUAUACGAGUAUCUUACACUCUUUAACAAAAAAAUAUUAACACAUUAAUUAGACAUUACUUUUCAUUUUUAGCCUUUGUAAUUAUUGUUAAAAUACUCUUUAUAAUGAUUAAAUAUUGAUUAUGAUACCUACUCCCAGUACUUCAGAGCAGUGAGAGUUUCUUGAACUCAGUAUCACAUAGGAAAUCCAAAUGAAGGGUAAAAAUGGAAGAAAAAUCUAAAAUUAUUCUUGAACAAACAAAUUAAUUUGAACUAUGAAAAAUGUCUCAACAAUUCACUAGAUAAAAUAAUAGAGAACGUAGGAGUAAUAUCAAUUCGAAUUUAGUAUUAGCUAGAUUUUUUAAUUAACACAUAUGGGGUGAGCCAAAACUAUUAGGUUAUCCGUAACUUUAGUUGUGCGCCCAUCCCCAACGUUAAAUUAGAGACAUAAAAAAACUAAUUAUUUAUAUUCGGUGUUUAUAUCUAUUAGUUUGGAGGUGAUAUUAACUUUUGAUGAUUUAACAAACUUAAGGAUCUAACAAGGAACCAGAUCCUUGUUAUUGGGACUGCUGACAGAGAAAUGAAUGAAUAAACUCAGUGUGAAGAAUAUUUGUGUGUAAUCAUCAAAAAGGGGGAAGAUGUUAUAUUAUAGGUGUUUUGAUGAUCCUCACAAAUGCAGGGACCUGGUCCCUAGCAGAGUGCUCUUGUCCGAUACAAAUGGGGUACAUAUGUAAAGCUGUUGUGACAGAGGUUGGUGAGGCGUCAGCGUACUACACCAAUCAGAAUGGACGAGGGUGUUUGUCCAAUGGGUAAUAACUCUUUAUGGUUGAUAUUUUCUACGUGACAAACACUAUAUUAUAUUCAUUCAUCCAAAUAAGGAAGUUAGCCAGUAAGCCUUUUCAAGAACUCACAAAGAAGUUUGCAAGGGACCUGGUCCCUGCAAGACUGCAAUAUGAAAAGGUGACAAGACAGUUCGUCAGAAAAAGUUGCUGGUAGGUGCACAACUUUUCACACCAGCAAGCUCUCAGCCAAUAAGACUGUUUCAAUGAGUUUGUGUUCAGUUUAAUAUAAUCUCUCAACACAAAACACAAACUCAAGAUUUUGGCAAACAAAAACUCAAAAGCUUAAAAGGAAAAGCCAAUCUUCAAGGAAGAACAAUACUCAUACUCAACAAAAGGAUCUGAUAAAGUGCUGAAGCAUCUUUGUUGAGUUUGAGUUUUGUGUCUAUCAUUUUUAUAGGUUUUUCGCAUCUUGAAAUUCUCAAGUAUACAAGCAAAGACCAUCUUGGUGAAGUAUUCUCCGGCAAGCACAACAAGGACCUAAUCAAUAACUUCUUCUCACGUUGGUUGUAACUGUGGUUCACUUUUGCUUAAAGAAGAUUAGUGAAACAGUUGAAAAUCCUGUGAGACAGGUCGUGGUUUUACUCCCGUGAGCAAGGAGUUUUGUAACAUCCGGAAAUUUGAAAUAACUAUGAAGAGGCUUAGAAUUGAAAAUAGUCAUUUUGGAAAGAAUUAAAAAUCUGAAAAAUUUGGUUAAGUAUGGGAAAAAGUUGAGUUUUUGGCCAACUUUGAACAGUCAUAACUCCUAGAUCAGGAUGAGUUAGGUGUAGUUCCAGUUAUGUUUGCAAAGUUCGUGGAAUUUUCUUUCCAACGCCGCCGAGUUCAUUCGAUUCCGAGUUCGUAUGAGUGAGUUAUCCCCUUUGGAAGUUGGGACAGUUGGCAGGGAAGUCCGUCCGAAAAUUUGUAAGGGUAUUUUGGUCUUUUCCCUAAAUCAAUUCUUUUGGUUAUAUUAGUGUGUUAGACUGAUUUUUGAUCAGUUCUUCCCUAUUUUUAAAGAGUGAGAGUGAGGGUUUGAGAGUGAAGAGGAGAAGAAGAGGAGAAGAAGAGGAGAAAAGAGAAGAUUAAGCAAGGUUUCGUCAAAGAUCGUCGUGGAUAUCGUCGGGGGGUGAUCCCUACUAGGUAUGUGAGAUCAUAGUGUUGGGUUGGUUCUUUCCCCCACACGCCAAACUCGUUUUAAAUUCCGAGAAAAGAUUGAUUAUGUUUGUUGAAGUUGUCGGUUGUAGUUGUUGGUUGUGAUUGUUGUUGAAGUUCUUGUUGGUUUGGUACAUGUUUCCAGUUGUGUUUUGAGUUGAAUCUAUUGUAUGUUGAGGGGUUUUAUGAUAUUAAUUGUUUGUGGCUGGAACCAUUAAAGUUAAGGAGGUUUAGAGUUGGAAAAAUGAAGGACAAAAGUCAAAUUUUCGGGGAAAAGGGCUGGGGCGUCGCGCUAGCCAGCGCGCCCUAGAAGGGACUCUGAGGUCCAGCCCUUGGGGCGGUGCCCCUAGCAGAGCCCCAACCAGGCCUUCUGAGCUUUGUGGUCUGGCGCCCCACGCCUCUCAGAGCGCCAAGGACGCCAACCUUUCCCAUUCCUUCCCCACUUUUUCAUAUAUGUUCCUUGGUAAUGUACCUAUGUUUUGUAGUUGUUUUCAACACUCUAAGGUACAUUUAAACCUCCCGAACUCAUCCAUUAACAUGAGAUCAUUACCCUCAAAUUCGUACUCGAAUUCGAGGAAAGUUAGGAUCAAGUCAAGUGAAGUUAGAGUCAAGUCAAGCAAAGUUAAGAAGUAAAUCCAAGCAAGUCUUUAAAGUUGUUCAAGAGUCUUUAUUGAAUAUUUUAACUUCAUUUUAAGGCUCAAGUUUUAAGUCAAGCAAGAGUAUAGAGUUUCAAGUUAAGUAAAGAGUAAAGAGUUUCAAAUUAAGUCAAGAGUAUAAAGUUGAGUUCAUUUCUCAAAAGUUAUUAGGGAACUAAGUAUUCCCAAAGAAGUUUUAAAAAUAUGUUUUCACAUUUAAACAAGAUUGGAAACUGAGAUUUCCAAAGAGCCUUCGGGAUAGUUUUCCAGAAAAAGAGUUAUCGCUUUCUAAAUGAAGCAAGAAAGGAAACUGAGAUUUCCAAGAUAGCCUUUCAGCUAAGUUUUGAGUAAUUAUCUCAAAUCAGCAAGAAGAAGUA